UGGCAAAGACUACGAGGUGGAGAAAGAACCGAUAAAAAGCCACCUCUGCCGAGACUGAAACUGCCAAAUCUUAGAUAGAAAGGAGCAGCAACAAACAAAACGAUCAAACAAACCUUAAUCAUGGGUAGAUGUAUGAAUCCUCUGACUAUAAGCAGUAACCAAGACAAAACCCGAGCGUCCUCAUAUCUUACAUCAAUACGACGCAAACAAGGAAAAACUUCACCGCUCAGCCUCUUCCCAUUUUGGAUUAGGAUAUCAUCUUAAACUUUCGUCGGAUUCAACUAGUUAGUUUAUGAUGAAUGCAUAGUUGAAAUGUCCUCACUUCUCUCUCUCUUCAAAAUCCCUGACUUCUCUCUAGUUUUUAUUCAAAUUGAUAUCGUCGGUUCCGCAAUUCCAGCUGCUCUCUUGAGCCGGAGUCGGGUUAGCUUGUUACUAUGUUUUUCUUUGAGAUCUUCGGAUCUGAUCUUCAUUUUUUUUUUCUAUUUCUGUUCAACGGUUUAGCUACUUUCUAGAUUUUGAUAUUUGAUUUUGAAUCUAUGCCUUCUCGGUUUCUCCAGAGUGGUUGAAUCAGGGGUUGCUUUGAUACGUUCUUUGUCAUUUACCUUAAGAUCUUAUCGAGAUACAUCCAUCUCUUCGUCAUGCUUCAUUCGGGCGUUUCAAAUUGGUCUUACUCCACCAUCACCAUUUCCGGCUGAAGGCUUAGGAAUUUAAAAAGUUUUGUCUUGCUGGUGGUAGAAGAUUUGGUCUCUUAAUUGCAUGAACUGAUAUACGAGGUUUCGCAAGUUAAUGGAUUCGCUUUGUUUUGUUUCCUCGAUUUGUCUCUCUUAAAGAAAACUUGUUGAUGUUUUCAUGACAAUUUGUUUCCUUG
rnacentral:lncRNA from 1 species